ACGGAGGGUGCAAGCGUUAUCCGGAUUCACUGGGUUUAAAGGGUGCGUAGGCGGGCAGGUAAGUCCGUGGUGAAAUCUCUGAGCUUAACUCAGAAACUGCCAUGGAUACUAUUUGUCUUGAAUAUUGUGGAGGUAAGCGGAAUAUGUCAUGUAGCGGUGAAAUGCUUAGAUAUGACAUAGAACACCAAUUGCGAAGGCAGCUUACUACACAGUUAUUGACGCUGAGGCACGAAAGCGUGGGGAUCAAACAGGA
rnacentral:rRNA from 1 species